rnacentral:antisense_RNA from 1 species
UGUAAUUCCAGCACUUUGGAAGGCGGGGGCAGGUGGAUCACGAGGUCAGGAGAUCGAGACCAUCCUGGCUAACAGUCUCUACUAAAAAUACAAAAAAAUUAGCUGGACUUGGUGGCAGGCACCUGUAGUCCCAGCUACUUGGGAGGCUGAGGCAGCAGAAUGGCGUGAACCCGGGAGGCGGAGCUUGCGGUGAGCCGAGAUCGCGCCACUGUACUCCAGCCUGGGCGACAGAGUGAGCUCUGUCUCAGAAAAAAAAAAAAAAGUACGAAUCUAAACGUACCAAUGGGUGCUCAUACUUUCCAACCAGGCAGAGGACAUGCAAAAUAAAGGUAACUGUAGAAGCUUAGGGAACACUGUAUGUGUAAUUCCAAUGAACAUGUUCAGAAGUCAACAGAGUCUUGAAGUAUGUAAUGAGAAGUGUUGGCAAUAUCUGAAAACUGGCCUGAAUUGUAAUUACAUUUUCUCUUUAUCAGUUUUAAUGUCUUUGUCUCUGUUAAAUACUUGGUAAGCUAGAAUCAACAUGCUUAUUUGGAGGGAAAAUGGUAUAAGGAGUUGAUGCAUUAGGGCUUAAACAGCCAGUAAAUACUUGGUUACAAUUACAAAUAAAUUUUCAACAGUUUAACACUGUUAAAUACUUUGAUGAAUAGAAAAAUAUACCAAAUUCUGGUCACAAGUAGUGUGUGCUAAGUACUCUCUAUAAAAAUACACUAUAUUAGUCACAGUAUAAAAAUAAUUAUAUCUCCCCACACACCCGUCUCACCUGUAUGAGUUCUUACAUGCGUUUUCAGCUGGUUACAUUGGGUAAAUGCCUUUCCACAUAAGUGGCAGACGUAAGGUUUGACUCCUUUAUGUAUUCUCAUGUGCCUUCUCAAACUGCUGGCUUCUGAAAACACUUUCCCACAUGUGUUACACAUUGGCUUGGCCUUGGAAUACCUCUGAUCCAGCUCUUCCCCGGAGUUCUCCGCCUCAUAAGGACUCUUGAUACUGGCUAUAUUAGACAUAGAGUGUUCUUUCAGAGCACAGUUUGGCUGUGAUUUUCCACGUUUCCGUUUCACUGUAACAGUGUGCACAAUAUCUUGUGCUGGAAAAGUAUUUUCCACAACUGAUGUCAACUCGAGUUCUGAAUUAUCAUUUAUUUGUGCAACUUGUUCUACUACAGGUGUGGGCAGUUUAUUUGCAUCUAGGAAUAAGUCAACAGAUGCAUUCUCUAAGAUGUCACUGGGAUAUUGCACUGUUUUAUUUUGCCCUGUUUUUGGGGAGUUGAAAGCCUUCUUCUUCUUUUUUGUUUGAGAUGACUUUUUUGCUAACGCCCCUUGUUUAGGAUUUGCCUGAAUCAAAUCUGUAGAUACUUCUGAUUUCUCUCGAUUAUUAUAAUCUCGCAGAGUAAGAAGACAAGUCUGUUGAUUCAAUUCAAUGUUUCCAGUAAUACUAGAUAUCUCUGUAGAAGAAGGAUUAGCAAUAAAAGCAAAAUCUUCCAUCUUUAUUUUGCAUUUAGUGACCACCUCUUCCACUUUGAGAUAGUCAGCAGCCUGAUGAAUUUCUUUAACAUUCCAACUGCAAGGAAACAAGGCUACAUGACAAUAUUCUGAUCAAAGAAAAACUUUUCGAAACAGAGCUGCAUAUAUACUUCAAUGUAUUUUAAAGACCUAAUGAAGCAGAAUGCUGAAAAAGACAUAACUAAGAGAAAAAUAUAUUUAUAAAUUCAUUCAGAAUAAUGUUUAGGUAAAAAAAUCUCCAAUUUUACAGAACUUCAAGAGAUGAAAGAUAAUGGCUAUUCACAGCUGACAGUGAACCACUGCAGAAAAAUUAAAUGUUAAAUUUUCUGGCUUUUUAAAACCCUAGAACACAAAAAUAGCUGAUGGUAACUCACUACCUCCUCCAUUCAUCCUGAGGCCUCUUCAGAUAGCAACCAACUUUUCUGGAUUGGCAAGAGGGAAAGUCUAAUGACACUUGUUUCUUACUAUUUUCUUCUGCUCCCCUGUGAGGGACUUUAAUUAUGUUUCCCAAACUUUGCUGUGCAUGUGAAUCACCCGGGAAUCCUGUUAAACGUACAUUCAAAUUCAGUAGGUCUGUGAUGGGGCCUGAGAUUCUGCAUUUUUUUUCUGUUUUGAGAUGGAGUAUUCCUCUGUUGCCCAAGCAGGGGUGCACUGGUAUAAUGAUAACUCACUGCAGCCUUGAACUCCUGGGCUCCUGCGUCAGCUUCCCAAGUAAAUGGGACUACAAGCAUGUGCUACCAUGCCUGGCUAUUUUUUUUGUAGAGGCAGGGUCUUGCUAUGCUGCCCAGGCUGGUCUCGAACUCCUGGCCUCAAGUGAUCCUCCCACCUUGGGCUCCCAAAGUGCUAGGAUUACAAGCAUGAGCCACCAGCACAGCCUGCAUUUCUUAAUACACUUCCUGGUGAUGCCAAUGUUGCUUAGAGGAAUCCACUUAGAGGAACAAGGUUUUAGAAUGUUAAACUCUCUCUAGCAACCCUCCCACCUUUUUUGGUGAUACUCAACCCAAAUUAGCUGGAGUGUUUGUGAUAUGAGAGUUACAAAGAAAGACUUAAGCCACCUUGUUCAAUAUUCUAGUCAAAUGUUUACUAAGCAUCUACCAUGUGUGGUACUAAGAUAUUAAUAAGUAAAUAGUCUCUGUCCUUCAGAAGUUCACAAUGUGGUGAAAGGUUGUUUGAUUAAUCUAGCACUGGCUCUGACAUUACUGGCUGACUUAAUUAGGGUAAGUCAGCAUCUUUGGGGGGUUCAACUUUCUUAGCUAUAAAAUUAGAGUUGAGUUGGUAUUAACACUAAAAACAUGACUGUUAUAAGUAUUUGAGGAUGGAAACACACACACACACACACAACACACACACACACACACCCCUUACCCUAAAAUAAUCUUCCUGUUUUCCCUAAAUAUGGUUUAUUUUUGGGAAGAUGAUCUCUUUCCCUCUUUGUUGUAAGUAUAAGCCAGAAAAGGGUUUUAAUCAUAGCUGACAAUGUAAAUAUAGUGCUGGCGAUACUAUUUUAAAGGACUAAAAUUUGAAAUAAAAUAAAAAAUAACUAGUGUCAUGAACCUCUAAGAUCUCUAAAAGUAUGCUACAGUAUCUACAAAUCUCUACCCAUGUUCUCAUCAUCUUCUAAUUAAACUUGCUUUGCCUC